rnacentral:rRNA from 1 species
CCCCACACUGGUACUGAGCACGGACCAGACCUCCUACGGGAGGCAGCAGUAAGGAAUAUUGGUCAAUGGGCGGCAAGGCCGUGAACCAGCCAUGCCGCGUGCAGGAAGACAGCCCUCUGGGUCGUAAACUGCUUUUAUUCGGGAAUAAACCUAUCUACGUGUAGAUAGCUGAAUGUACCGAAGGAAUAAGGAUCGGCUAACUCCGUGCCAGCAGCCGCGGUAAUACGGAGGAUCCAAGCGUUAUCCGGAUUUAUUGGGUUUAAAGGGUGCGUAGGCGGCCUGUUAAGUCAGGGGUGAAAGACGGUAGCUCAACUAUCGCAGUGCCUUUGAUACUGACGGGCUUGAAUGAACUAGAAGUAGGCGGAAUGUGACAAGUAGCGGUGAAAUGCAUAGAUAUGUCACAGAACACCGAUUGCGAAGGCAGCUUACUAUGGUUUUAUUGACGCUGAGGCACGAAAGCGUG